UGAUUAUGACGUACUUGUACUGAUUGAGAUUUUAACACGAAGUGAGUGGCGAACGGGUGAGUAACACGUGGGUAACCUGCCCAGAAGUAGGGGAUAACACCUGGAAACAGAUGCUAAUACCGUAUAACAGAGAAAACCGCAUGGUUUUCUUUUAAAAGAUGGCUCUGCUAUCACUUCUGGAUGGACCCGCGGCGUAUUAGCUAGUUGGUGAGGUAAAGGCUCACCAAGGCAGUGAUACGUAGCCGACCUGAGAGGGUAAUCGGCCACAUUGGGACUGAGACACGGCCCAGACUCCUACGGGAGGCAGCAGUAGGGAAUCUUCCACAAUGGACGCAAGUCUGAUGGA
rnacentral:rRNA from 1 species